rnacentral:rRNA from 1 species
UAAAUUAUUGUUUUUGUUUGGAAUUUAAAAUUAUGUUGAUAAAUUAUUAAGAUUUUCGAAAUCACGUACCAGAAGACUCGGCUACACGUGUUUAGCUUUAACUAAUAAUAUUAAAAAAUUAUCUUAUGAUUAAAUUAUUUUAAAUUAUAAAUAGUGGAAUAUUAUUGAUUUAAAAGUAAAAAGAAGAUAAUAUAAAAUUAUUAGUUGACUUGGUUUAGUAUCCAAUUAAAUUAAUUAAAAUUUAAUCUAAAGUAAGGUAAAAUAAAUAGAAUAAAUUUGUCGGGAAUAAAAUUUUUUUUUGGGAUUUGAUGGUUAAUUGGAGAAAACACCUUUUAACUAAUUUUUUUGUUUUUUGAAUGACUCUUAAUUUAAUUUUUUAUUAAUAUAAAUAAUUUAAUGUUGAGGUAAAUACCAAGAAUAUAUUUUAGUCUUAAUUUCAUCACAUUUUUUUAAAAAUUGAAUAUUUUAUUAAAAUAAAAUUGAAAAUGGAAAAAAAAGUAAUUAAUAUUUUUUUUAUUUAAAUGAAUUUAAUCUUUAUUCAGUACUAAUUGUCCAUCGUUACUUUUAGUAAAAGUUGUAGCAUAGUAGAUUUAUAGGAAUUUGAAUCUAU